rnacentral:rRNA from 1 species
UACGUAGGGUCCGAGCGUUGUCCGGAAUUAUUGGGCGUAAAGCGUGCGCAGGCGGCUUCUCAAGUCAGGGGUGAAAGCCCAGAGCUCAACUCUGGAAUUGCCUUUGAGACUGAGUGGCUUGAGUACGGGAGAGGUGAGUGGAAUUCCCAGUGUAGAGGUGAAAUUCGUAGAUAUUGGGAAGAACACCGGUGGCGAAGGCGGCUCACUGGCCCGUAACUGACGCUCAUGCACGACAGCGUGGGGAUCAAACAGG